rnacentral:misc_RNA from 1 species
AACGCACGAGACCUGCGGACCUGCGGAAGGAUCAUUCACAAUAAGUGUUUUAUGGCACUUUAAUUCCAUAUCCACCUUGUGUGCAACGUAGUUCGUUUUUCGAACAAAACAUCAACAUUUUAAUUAUCAACAGAUCGUCUGAAGUAUUAUAUGAAUAAAUCAAUUCAAAAUACAACUUUUAACAACGGAUCUCU